GAUGAACGCUGGCGGCGUGCCUAAUACAUGCAAGUCGAGCGAACAGACGAGGAGCUUGCUCCUCUCACGUUAGCGGCGGGCGUGUGUGUAACAUGUGGAUAACCUACCUAUAAGACUGGGAUCACUUCGGGAAUCCGGAGCUAAUACCGGAUAAUCUAUUGAACCGCAUGGUUCAAUAGUGAAUGACGGCUUUGCUGUCACUUAUAGAUGGAUCCGCGCCGCAUUGGCUAGUUGGUAAGGUCACGGCUUACCAAGGCAACGAUGCGUAGCCGAGGUGUGAGGGUGAUCGGCCACACUGGAACUGAGACACGGUCCAGGCGCCUACGGGAGGCAGCAGUAGGGAAUGUUCCGCAAUGGGCGAAAGCAUGACGGAGCAACGCCGCGUGAGUGAUGAAGGUCUUCGGAUCGUAAAACUCUGUUAUUAGGGAAGAACAAAUGUGUAAGUAAAUAUGCACGUCUUGACGGUACCGGAUCAGAAAGCCACGGCUAACUACGUG
rnacentral:rRNA from 1 species